CCUACGGGAGGCAGCAGUAGGGAAUCUUCCACAAUGGGCGAAAGCCUGAUGGAGCAACGCCGCGUGGGUGAAGAAGGUCUUCGGAUCGUAAAACCCUGUUGUUAGAGAAGAAAGUGCGUGAGAGUAACUGUUCACGUUUCGACGGUAUCUAACCAGAAAGCCACGGCUAACUACGUGCCAGCAGCCGCGGUAAUACGUAGGUGGCAAGCGUUAUCCGGAUUUAUUGGGCGUAAAGGGAACGCAGGCGGUCUUUUAAGUCUGAUGGGAAAGCCUUCGGCUUAACCGGAGUAGUGCAUUGGAAACUGGGAGACUUUAGUGCAGAAGAGGAGAGUGGAACUCCAUGUGUAGCGGUGAAAUGCGUAGAUAUAUGGAAGAACACCAGUGGCGAAAGCGGCUCUCUGGUCUGUAACUGACGCUGAGGUUCGAAAGCGUGGGUAGCAAACAGGAUUAGAUACCCCAGUAGUC
rnacentral:rRNA from 1 species